GACGAACGCUGGCGGCGUGCUUAACACAUGCAAGUCGAACGGAAAGGCCCUGCUUUUGUGGGGUGCUCGAGUGGCGAACGGGUGAGUAACACGUGUGUAACCUGCCCUUGACUUUGGGAUAACUUCAGGAAACUGGGGCUAAUACCGGAUAGGAGCUCCUGCUGCAUGGUGGGGGUUGGAAAGUUUCGGCGGUUGGGGAUGGACUCGCGGCUUAUCCGCUUGUUGGUGGGGUAGUGGCUUACCAAGGCUUUGACGGGUAGCCGGCCUGAGAGGGUGACCGGCGAAAUUGGGACUGAGAUACGGACCAGAAUCGAACGGGAGGCAGCAGUGGGGAAUAUUGCACAAUGGGGGGAAGCCUGAUGCAGCAACGCCGCGUGCGGGAUGACGGCCUUCGGGGUAUAAACCGCUGUCGCCGGUGACGAAGCGUGAGUGACGGUAAUGGGUAAAGAAGCACCGGCUAACUACGUG
rnacentral:rRNA from 1 species